UAUUUUAAAACGUGUAAGUCGCUUUGGAUAAAAGCGUCUGCUAUAUGACUAAAU
rfam:Danio rerio chromosome 8, GRCz11 reference primary assembly.